CAGCCGUAAACUAUGCUCGCUAGGUGUCAGGCAUGGCGCGACCGUGUCUGGUGCCGCAGGGAAGCCGUGAAGCGAGCCACCUGGGAAGUACAGCCGCAAGGCUGAAACUUAAAGGAAUUGGCGGGGGAGCACAACAACGGGUGGAGCCUGCGGUUUAAUUGGACUCAACGCCGGACAACUCACCGGGAACGACAGCAAUAUGUAGGCCAGGCUGAAGACCCUACAUGACUAGCUGAGAGGUGGUGCAUGGCGUAGACGUCU
rnacentral:rRNA from 1 species